UACGUAGGGGGCGAGCGUUGUCCGGAUUUAUUGGGCGUAAAGAGCGUGUAGGCGGCCAGGUAGGUCAGCUGUGAAAACUCGAGGCUCAACCUCGAGAUGUCGGCUGAAACCAUCUGGCUAGAGUCCGGAAGAGGAGAAUGGAAUUCCCGGUGUAGUGGUGAUAUGCGUAGAUAUCAGGAGGAACACCGGUGGCGAAGGCGGCUUUCUGGACAAAAACUGACGCUGAGGCGCGAAAGCUAGGGGAGCAAACAGG
rnacentral:rRNA from 1 species